rnacentral:rRNA from 1 species
UACGUGAGGCAGCGAGCGUUGUUCGGAAUUACUGGGCGUAAAGGGCUCGUAGGCGGCCAACUCAGUCGGACGUGAAAUCCCUCGGCUUAACCGGGGAACUGCGUCCGAUACUGGAUGGCUUGAGUUUGGGAGAGGGAUGCGGAAUUCCAGGUGUAGCGGUGAAAUGCGUAGAUAUCUGGAGGAACACCGGUGGCGAAGGCGGCAUCCUGGACCAACACUGACGCUGAGGAGCGAAAGCCAGGGGAGCAAACGGG